ACGCUGGCGGCAGGCCUAACACAUGCAAGCCGAAUGGUAACAGGAAACAGCUUGCUGUUUCGCUGACGAGUGGCGGACGGGUGAGUAAUGUCUGGGAAACUGCCUGAUGGAGGGGGAUAACUACUGGAAACGGUAGCUAAUACCGCAUAACGUCGCAAGACCAAAGAGGGGGACCUUCGGGCCUCUUGCCAUCAGAUGUGCCCAGAUGGGAUUAGCUAGUAGGUGGGGUAACGGCUCACCUAGGCGACGAUCCCUAGCUGGUCUGAGAGGAUGACCAGCCACACUGGAACUGAGACACGGUCCAGACUCCUACGGGAGGCAGCAGUGGGGAAUAUUGCACAAUGGGCGCAAGCCUGAUGCAGCCAUGCCGCGUGUAUGAAGAAGGCCUUCGGGUUGUAAAGUACUUUCAGCGGGGAGGAAGGGAGUAAAGUUAAUACCUUUGCUCAUUGACGUUACCCGCAGAAGAAGCACCGGCUAACUCCGUGCCAGCAGCCGCGGUAAUACGGAGGGUGCAAGCGUUAAUCGGAAUUACUGGGCGUAAAGCGCACGCAGGCGGUUUGUUAAGUCAGAUGUGAAAUCCCCGGGCUCAACCUGGGAACUGCAUCUGAUACUGGCAAGCUUGAGUCUCGUAGAGGGGGGUAGAAUUCCAGGUGUAGCGGUGAAAUGCGUAGAGAUCUGGAGGAAUACCGGUGGCGAAGGCGGCCCCCUGGACGAAGACUGACGCUCAGGUGCGAAAGCGU
rnacentral:rRNA from 1 species